GAUGAACGCUGGCGGCGUGCCUAAUACAUGCAAGUCGAGCGAAUGGAUUAAGAGCUUGCUCUUAUGAAGUUAGCGGCGGACGGGUGAGUAACACGUGGGUAACCUGCCCAUAUGACUGGGAUAACUCCGGGAAACCGGGGCUAAUACCGGAUAACAUUUUGGACCGCAUGGUUCGAAAUUGAAAGGCGGCUUCGGCUGUCACUUAUGGAUGGACCCGCGUCGCAUUAGCUAGUUGGUGAGGUAACGGCUCACCAAGGCAACGAUGCGUAGCCGACCUGAGAGGGUGAUCGGCCACACUGGGACUGAGACACGGCCCAGACUCCUACGGGAGGCAGCAGUAGGGAAUCUUCCGCAAUGGACGAAAGUCUGACGGAGCAACGCCGCGUGAGUGAUGAAGGCUUUCGGGUCGUAAAACUCUGUUGUUAGGGAAGAACAAGUGCUAGUUGAAUAAGCUGGCACCUUGACGGUACCUAACCAGAAAGCCACGGCUGACUACGUGCCAGCCGCCGCAGUAA
rnacentral:rRNA from 1 species